AUAGAAAAUUAUAAAGAAGUUGUAGUGACCAGUGUGAGCCGUGGAGAGCCUUUGGUAAGACUUUCCGCUGAAGCCAGAACUGUCUACAGUACAAAUAAAUACA